GAUUCUCCAGAUAUUCCUCUUCUGGCACUACAGUGCCUGUCUGAUGCAGAAAGUAUCUGAAGAUGGGUGAAAAGUUCCAGACAAAAUAAAAGAAACUACAGAACAACAUAUCAAAUGAUGGAGCUGGAGUGUUCCUCAGAGAUCCUGAGAUGGUCCUGUACUUUACAGGCCAGCCAGGGGAGUAACUGAAUAUACUCACUUGGAGAAACAAUAGAAGGCUCAGAGAAGACAUCAAAGUCUGGGAGGAGAUUGGGCUGUGGGUGCUUUUGGAAAGGCUACAGGAAUAAGAGCGCUUGCGUUAAAUCAGUGCUGACUGUUGACUAAAAGACCCUGCCUUGUUUAUAGGGAAAACUUAAGAUCAUCUUGUGUUUGUUUCUUCCCUGGUGUGUAAGGGCAAGACAAAGUGUUGAAAGUCCUUUGUGAUGAUAUAGAAAUACACAAGAGCUGAUCACUUUAAAGUUCCCCUGCUACUGCCAUAGUUUUUGAUUUAAUUCUUCUCAUUCAUCAAAGUGUUUGGUUGUGAUAUUUGAGUUGAUGUAGGCGAGUAGUAAAGUGGAGUGAAAAUACUGAUAUCAAAGCCGACACUGAAAAGAUGUGGAAAUUGGGCAGAGUCAGGUUUCCAUAGUUAGAAUAAGAAUCCCUCAAAUAAACAAGCAGAAAAUUGUU